GGCUCGUCCCAGUGCAGUGAUAUUUACAAGUAAUUGAUCACAACCAGUUAUAGAUUCCUUUGUUUCUUCUCUGCUCCCACUGCUUCACUUGGCCUUUA
rnacentral:Y_RNA from 1 species